GAAACAAGAAUUCAGGAGAGAUAUGGAGACUCAAUAAAAGAGAAUCCAUUCUUCUGCCUAGGGGAAAGUCCCCGGACCUUGGGCAGAGAGUGCACGCACACGAAGGCAUCCCUCCAUUUCUCACUAUUAAAACCCGCCAAGAAGCGAAUCUCACAGAGCAGUGUAGUGCAGAGGGCAACGUCCAUCAGCUCCACUAGUUACGCAGGCUGCAGGCCUUGCGUGUGUAUCUUAGCGCACCAACCACAUGGUGCUCAUUCUC
rnacentral:RNase_MRP_RNA from 2 species